rnacentral:rRNA from 1 species
CCUACGGGGUGCAGCAGUGAGGAAUAUUGGUCAAUGGCAGAGAUCCUGAACCAGCCAAGCCGCGUGAGGGAAGACGGUCCUAUGGGUUGUACACCUCUUUUGUCGGAGAACAAAACCCGUCACGUGUCCCGGUCUGCGAGUACUUGAAGAAAAAGCAUCGGCUAACUCCGUGCCAGCAGCCGCGGUAAUACGGAGGAUGCGAGCGUUAUCCGGAUUUAUUGGGUUUAAAGGGUGCGUAGGCGGUACGUUAAGUCAGCGGUAAAAUUGCGGGGCUCAACCCCGUCGAGCCGUUGAAACUGGCAGACUUGAGUUGGCGAGAAGUACGCGGAAUGCGUGGUGUAGCGGUGAAAUGCAUAGAUAUCGCGCAGAACUCCGAUUGCGAAGGCAGCAUACCGGCGCCAGACUGACGCUGAGGCACGAAAGCGUGGGGAUCGAACAGGAUUAGAUACCCCAAUAGUC